rnacentral:rRNA from 1 species
AACGAACGCUGGCGGCAUGCCUAACACAUGCAAGUCGAACGAGACCUUCGGGUCUAGUGGCGCACGGGUGCGUAACGCGUGGGAACCUGCCCUUAGGUUCGGAAUAACUCCCCGAAAGGGGUGCUAAUACCGGAUAAUGUCUUCGGACCAAAGAUUUAUCGCCUUUGGAUGGGCCCGCGUUGGAUUAGCUAGUUGGUAGGGUAAAAGCCUACCAAGGCGACGAUCCAUAGCUGGUCUGAGAGGAUGAUCAGCCACACUGGGACUGAGACACGGCCCAGACUCCUACGGGAAGCAGCAGUGGGGAAUAUUGGACAAUGGGCGUAAGCCUGAUCCAGCAAUGCCGCGUGAGUGAUGAAGGCCUUAGGGUUGUAAAGCUCUUUUACCCGGGAUGAUAAUGACAGUACCGGGAGAAUAAGCUCCGGCUAACUCCGUG